GUUCUUUGCCGUCACUCAGAGCCUCUCAGGGCCCCAAGACUCCAGGAAGAAACAAGUAUUGUAGAAGCCAAAACCCCAAGGCAAGAUGAGGAAACUGAGGCCCCACGUGGUGAAGACAAUUUUUACCCGAAUCCACCCACAACAAGAGACCAUUUGGAUAAUGUACAUUAUGGGAAGAGAACAGAGUCUCAGUGAAGAUCAUGUUUCCCCAGCAACACAGGUGCCAGGAGUAGCUGGCUCUGGUCCCAGCCCAGACUCAGAAAUCCUGAGCCACCAGACCAUUUCUAGAUUAACAAAGGCCUGCAUUAAUUUGAUUUCAG
rnacentral:lncRNA from 10 species